rfam:Fukomys damarensis contig94196, whole genome shotgun sequence.
GACUACGGCCAUAACACCCUGAACAUGCCCGAUCUCAUCUGAUCUCGGGAAGCUAAACAGGGUCGGGCCUUGUUAGUACUUGGAUGGGAAGAAAGGGAACAAGAGGAG